CUCAUCCAUUACUCUGACUCCAGUUCUCGCUGAGCUGCUCCGAUCAUUCCAAAACAUUACAUCAUUGCACAGAGAGGGAACAUCGCUACUAUGGCCAGAGCGCCUGCCAAGGCGUCUGCACAGGACUGUACACUGGCUCCUUUGUGAUGUCCACAAUGUGUGUCCAAGGCAACCACUAGUUGUCACACUGACUGUUUGAAGAUGCUGCUGCCGAUGUGUUGUGCGUAUCAUAUUCUCUGCUGAAUGUGGACCAGUGAUGUCUCAUGAAAGCAGUGUCAGGUUUGGGCUCUUGUUUUCGUCCCAGGAUCUUCCCUACAGGCCGUAGAGCAUCCAGAAGCCAUGUUUGAGAUUUCACAUUUUGGGAGUCACUUUUCCUCCCUCCUCAUCAUGCCACAGAGCUGGUAUUCUGGGCUUUAGUGUGCCCUAUUGGCCUAGCCACAGCCCGGCAGCCUUUCAUUACACCAGCCGAAGGAGGUGCCCUGGACAUCCCCAUCGAAGACACCAUCACCACCACACCCCAAAGCGUGCCCAGCUCCGAGCUGUUCCCUGGAUACAUCAACAAGAGAGAUGAGAAAACAGCUGCUCUGUUUGUACAUCCUUUACCUGGCAAUCAGCAAGCCUGACCUGUUGGGCUAGUGAUGAUUGUUCCUUCCUUCAGGGUGUUUUCCCGCCAGUUUUACAUAGAACAAGUGGUUUGGAAACUGGAUGGAUGGAUGUCAUGGCUGGAAGUACACCGCCCCCUGUUGAUUCCUUCCAAAAUGGAGCUGCAAGAACUCCACAAACCUGAUGAUCAUAACGAGCAUGAUUUGAGAAUAAUCCAGUGAGCAACUUGUGAUUCUGACCGUCUGUACAAAUGAGUUCAUAUGGUGAAUGUCACAUAACGGUUUUUGACAGUUACUUAGAAAUAGAUGUGCAGAAUCUGAAAUAUUUAUUAAAGAAAUAGAAAUACAAUAAUAUUAAAUAUUAAUGAUAUUCUUUGUUCAAUCGUUUUGUU